rnacentral:lncRNA from 1 species
AUGUUCCCAUAUCGAUCGAUCGGGGCUAGCUAGUACAAACAUAUAUACACUCAAAGACAAUAAUAAUCCUUGAUCUUAAUGAAAUUAAUGUGUUGUGAUAUUAUAACGACAUUAUUGAUCAAACUGCAUAUAGCUGAUCUAUUGAUCAAACAAUAUGUACUGUACCACUUGAGAUUUCUUGCACUAUUCUUCUGCACAAAGUUGGAGUUCACCAGUACGUGUGAGUACUACAUUUGCAAAUAUAAUCACCAAGGCUACUGAUGCGAC